rnacentral:rRNA from 1 species
GCCAGACUCCUACGGGAGGCAGCAGUGGGGAAUAUUGCAUAAUGGGGGAAACCCUGAUGCAGCGACGCCGCGUGAGUGAAGAAGUAUUUCGGUAUGUAAAGCUCUAUCAGCAGGGAAGAAAAUGACGGUACCUGACUAAGAAGCCCCGGCUAACUACGUGCCAGCAGCCGCGGUAAUACGUAGGGGGCAAGCGUUAUCCGGAUUUAUUGGGUUUAAAGGGUGCGUAGGCGGAUUUUUAAGUCAGCGGUCAAACGCCGGGGCCCCACCCCCCGCCCGCCGUUGAAACUGGCAGUCUCGAGUUGGAGAGAAGUAUGCGGAAUGCGCGGUGUAGCGGUGAAAUGCAUAGAUAUCGCGCAGAACUCCGAUUGCGAAGGCAGCAUGCCGGCUCCACACUGACGCUGAGGCACGAAAGCGUGGGUAUCGAACAGGAUUAGAUACCCCAGUA